rnacentral:tRNA from 1 species
AGCAGAGUGGCCUAUUGGAAAAGGCAUAGGCCUGGGAGUCAAAGGACCCAGGUUCUAAUUCUGGCUCUGCCA